rnacentral:tRNA from 4 species
UGUUCGACCAGCUGGGGGCGAUCGGCAUCGACCUCACCGACGUGUUUGCCGUCCUCGAGGAGGAAGGCGUGCGGAAGUUCGAGGCCUCCUGGAACGA